GUUUGAACUCAAUUACUGCCCGUUAAUUCCAGGCGAGAAACGAGGCAAUCAAAACGCAGCCAAACAUAACGACGUCGUUUAAACGUUCCUGUGUACUGCAAGUGAAGACGGCCGCGUGAACAGCUGCAGAAGCGAGACUAAAGAGAGAGCGAGCAAGCGAGUCGAAAAUGGCGAUAUCGGGAGAUCUCAGGGUCUCUGCAACACUGGCCUCUUACAACAAGCACCCUCUUCGAAGCUCUUUGCCUACUUCAAACUCAAAGGUCAUCAACUCUUUUACUACUCAUUUCGAUAUCUCAACCCGCUUGCAUUUAUAAUUUGUCUCCAUUUGCGUCUCCUUUCGUAUGGUUAUUGUGUAAUUCUUCGCAUAUAUGCCUAUAAGCCCAUUUAUCCGCUUGUUUAUCGAGGAAAGCUGGGAAAUCUAGAAAUGGGAAAGCCUGGGAUCUCGAUAAAUGGGAGGACUUUCUUUGCAAAGAAAUAGAGCAUGUGUUCCUACUAGUCUUUACCAGUACAGCAAUUAUGGUAAUAGAUUUUUUUAGAUUCCAUUUGGCGAUUUGAGUUUAUAUUUAACAUACAUAGUUUGGUGUUUAUGCGAUUGCUUUGCUUGUACGUGCAUCCAAUUUUAUGGAUUGGACAUUAGCCCAGUGGUAGAAGUUACUUCAAAUUGAGCAUUUCUCUUUCAUUUAUUUGUUUGCUUAAUGUAAAUUCUGAAUUAGGGUUAUAUAGUAUUUGGAAAGUGUACAAUGUUUAGGGAAGGUAAAGAGGAACUCGGAUGUUGUCAAAGAAAACCCAAAAAGGUGCUCAUCAGAAAAUCUGCUUAGGAUAAAGUAUUUGGCUCAUUUUUGUUCAUAUAUUUCUAGCACCAACUAGAAUGAAAUAGGCAUAGUAAAUUUGUCGCAUAAUAUGUUAUAUAUAGGUUUAAUUUCUGGUUUCAAAAAGAGUGGCUGUUUCAUACCGAACAUCCAUUUCUAUGAUGUGAUUCUGCCAUCUGGUGAGUCAAAUUUUUUUUUCAAUACUUCCAUCAAAAAUUACUUGGUCAGCAGAGUUUAGUGGGGUUCUGUGGUUAAAUUUACAGAAAAUAAUCCACCUAACGUAGACUCAUCUACUCCCCCCUUUCUUGGUGCAGGGCUUUGAAUUUCUCUAAUUAACUUUUCAGAUAAUAAUCAUAAUGCUUGUCACUGAUACAUAUGCCUUCUUUAGCUCAUUUCAUGUUGUUAAUUCAUGCUUCUACUUGUGUAGCUUUGCUAUUCCUACAUUUCAUUAUAUGUUGGCAGGUUGUUGACUAUUUAAUUAGCACGGUCUGGGAGACAUUGGUUUGAUUGUAUAAUGUCUUUGUCUUUUCAUGGUUUUCUUGGAAUUUUCAGUAUGGUGGCGAUGUCCCCUUCUAAUAUGAGUAUAUUCAGGAAAUUAUUAAGAUUAGUACGGCUGAUAAUUGAAGUGUGUUUGAUGUGCUAUUGAAGCAAAGUUACAUGGAUAUGAUAAUUAGGAUUUGUGUCUAAUCAUCUCCCAAAAAUUAUUUGGAUAAGUAGGCUAGUUACCAAGAGGUAAUUUGCUUAUGUGGUGGGAUAACAAUUUAAUAAGUUCAUGAGUUUGAUGGCCUGUUCAUCCACUGAAUACAAUUGAAGGAGGGUUUUCAAAUAGGUAGAUGGUAUAAGGUUUCAUCCUGUAUUGUUACUCACUUCGCUAUAUGAAUAUUAUCCUUGUCUUUAUGACUUAUGAGUGGAGCCUUUAUCUUUCCAAAAAAUUUCAGCUUUCAUUCUAUGGAAUAACGUUCCAAAGAAUAACGUCUGGCUAAUUUAAAUAGCACUAGAAAUUAUGACAUGUCCAAUGAAAGACCAUGGAUGAGAGUCAACCAAAUGCUCCCCAGGUAGUUAUUCUCCUGGGCGUAAUGAGCUUGAAAUCUACCUUAGUAAAUAGUUGACUCUUUGUUAUUUGCUUUGAUUGUAUAUGUUCAAUUUGAAGGGCGGCUAAUUCAGAAUGCAUAUUGCAGUAUGUUUGAGAAAGUAAUGCCAAAAUGUCUCAUUGUGGCCAAGUCUUUGAUGCUGUAAUAUGCAGGUAGAGUUCAUCGGUUUCCCUGGUCGAGGAUCUGGCACAACCCCAAACACACACAAGUGGCCUGGUAUCAUGCUUGAUAGAUGUAAAAUGCAUGAUCACUCUAGACGAUUUUCUGGGAUUACUAGAGAUUAUCAGCUAUCUUCGACUUCAAUUAGUGAUGAGGCCGAAAGCUUUCUCCUUAAUGCCAUAAACCUGAGCUUCUUUGAACGUUUAAACCUGGCAUGGAAGAUAAUAUUC
rnacentral:misc_RNA from 1 species